rnacentral:rRNA from 1 species
GGCGUGCCUAAUACAUGCAAGUCGAGCGAACGGACGAGAGUGCUUGCACUCUCUGAUGUUAGCGGCGGACGGGUGAGUAACACGUGGGUAACCUACCUAUAAGACUGGGAUAACUUCGGGAAACCGGAGCUAAUACCGGAUAAUAUUUAGCUUCGCAUGAAGCAAUAGUGAAAGACGGUUCUGCUGUCACUUAUAGAUGGACCCGCGGUGUAUUAGCUAGUUGGUGAGGUAACGGCUCACCAAGGCAACGACACAUAGCCGACCUGAGAGGGUGAUCGGCCACACUGGGACUGAGACACGGCCCAGACUCCUACGGGAGGCAGCAGUAGGGAAUCUUCCGCAAUGGACGAAAGUCUGACGGAGCAACGCCGCGUGAGUGAAGAAGGUUUUCGGAUCGUAAAACUCUGUUGUAAGGGAAGAACAAGUACGUUAGUAACUGAACGUACCUUGACGGUACCUUACCAGAAAGCCACGGCUAACUACGUGCCAGCAGCCGCGGUAAUACGUAGGUGGCAAGCGUUAUCCGGAAUUAUUGGGCGUAAAGCGCGCGUAGGCGGUCUCUUAAGUCUGAUGUGAAAGCCCCCGGCUCAACCGGGGAGGGUCAUUGGAAACUGGGAGACUUGAGUGCAGAAGAGGAGAGUGGAAUUCCAUGUGUAGCGGUGAAAUGCGCAGAGAUAUGGAGGAACACCAGUGGCGAAGGCGGCUCUCUGGUCUGUAACUGACGCUGAGGUGCGAAAGCGUGGGGAUCAAACAGGAUUAGAUACCCUGGUAGUCACGCCGUAAACGAUGAGUGCUAAGUGUUGGGGGGUUUCCGCCCCUCAGUGCUGCAGCUAACGCAUUAAGCACUCCGCCUGGGGAGUACGGUCGCAAGACUGAAACUCAAAGGAAUUGACGG